rnacentral:rRNA from 1 species
CUCCUGCUCAAUGAUUUAUUAAAUAGCCGCAGUCUCCUGUGCUAAGGUAGCAUAAUAAUUUGCCCUUUAAUUUAGGGAUAGAAUGAAAGGAUAAACGAUUUAUCUACUUUUCCUAUUAUAAAAUAUAAAAUUUACAUAAAAGUAAAAAGGCUUUUAACUAACAGAAGGACGACAAGACCCUAUAGAACUUAACAUAUAGUUUAGCUGGGGUGGCAAACAAUCAAAACUUACGUUCCGAUCAAAAUAAAGACCUGAUUAUAAUCAACAAUAAAAACAAGUUACCUUAGGGAUAACAGCUCAAUUUUAUUUAAGAGCACCUAUCAAAAAUAAAGUUUAUGACCUCGAUGUUGAAUUAAUUUUACCUGAUGAGCAAAACCAUCAAAAGUAGGUCUGUUCGACCUUUAAAAAAUUACAUGAUUUGAGUUCAGACCGGCGCAAGCCAGGUCAGAUUCUAUCCUCUUUUAAAUUAUUAUAGUACGAAAGGACCUAAUAAAAAAUAA